AUCUUUGCGCAGUGGCGAUACAGUAACUAAUGAGGUUCAUCCGAGGUGCUGUUAUUGCUAGUUGAAAACUUUACCCAAUACCCCGUCCGGGACGACGUGAAAUACCGUCGGCUACGGCAAUGUUUGGAGGGUUUUACGGGGC
rnacentral:snRNA from 1 species